UGAGCAAUCUGCCCUUCACUUCGGGAUAACUCCGGGAAACCGGUGCUAAUACCGAAUACGACCACCGAUGGCAUCGUCUGGUGGUGGAAAGUUCCGGCGGUGAAGGAUGAGCUCGCGGCCUAUCAGCUUGUUGGUGGGGUAAUGGCCCACCAAGGCAACGACGGGUAGCCGGCCUGAGAGGGUGACCGGCCACACUGGAACUGAGACACGGCCCAGACUCCUACGGGAG
rnacentral:rRNA from 1 species